AGAGUUUGAUCAUGGCUCAGGAUGAACGCUGGCGGCGUGCCUAACACAUGCAAGUCGAACGGAGUUCUUAAGGAAUGCGGCUUCGGCCAAAUGACUUUUGAACUUAGUGGCGGACGGGUGAGUAACGCGUGAGCAACCUGCCUUUCAGAGGGGGAUAACAUUUGGAAACAGAUGCUAAUACCGCAUAAGAUUACAGUACCGCAUGAUACAGUGAUCAAAGGAGCAAUCCGCUGAAAGAUGGGCUCGCGUCCGAUUAGAUAGUUGGUGAGGUAACGGCUCACCAAGCCGACGAUCGGUAGCCGGACUGAGAGGUUGAACGGCCACAUUGGGACUGAGACACGGCCCAGACUCCUACGGGAGGCAGCAGUGGGGAAUAUUGCACAAUGGGCGAAAGCCUGAUGCAGCAACGCCGCGUGAGGGAAGACGGUUUUCGGAUUGUAAACCUCUGUUUUCGGUGACGAACAAAUGACGGUAACCGAGUAGGAAGCCACGGCUAACUACGUGCCAGCAGCCGCGGUAAUACGUAGGUGGCAAGCGUUAUCCGGAAUUACUGGGUGUAAAGGGAGCGCAGGCGGGAUAGCAAGUCAGCUGUGAAAACUAUGGGCUCAACCCAUAAACUGCAGUUGAAACUGUUAUUCUUGAGUGGAGUAGAGGCAAGCGGAAUUCCGAGUGUAGCGGUGAAAUGCGUAGAUACUCGGAGGAACACCAGUGGCGAAGGCGGCUUGCUGGGCUCUAACUGACGCUGAGGCUCGAAAGUGUGGGGAGCAAACAGGAUUAGAUACCCUGGUAGUCCACACCGUAAACGAUGAUUACUAGGUGUUGGAGGAUUGACCCCUUCAGUGCCGCAGUUAACACAAUAAGUAAUCCACCUGGGGAGUACGACCGCAAGGUUGAAACUCAAAGGAAUUGACGGGGGCCCGCACAAGCAGUGGAGUAUGUGGUUUAAUUCGACGCAACGCGAAGAACCUUACCAAGUCUUGACAUCCUGCGGCGAUGCUAGAAAUAGUAUUUUCCUUCGGGACGCAGAGACAGGUGGUGCAUGGUUGUCGUCAGCUCGUGUCGUGAGAUGUUGGGUUAAGUCCCGCAACGAGCGCAACCCUUAUGGUCAGUUACUACGCAAGAGGACUCUGGCCAGACUGCCGUUGACAAAACGGAGGAAGGUGGGGAUGACGUCAAAUCAUCAUGCCCUUUAUGACUUGGGCUACACACGUACUACAAUGGCGUUAAACAAAGAGAAGCAAGACCGCGAGGUGGAGCAAAACUCAGAAACAACGUCCCAGUUCGGACUGCAGGCUGCAACUCGCCUGCACGAAGUCGGAAUUGCUAGUAAUCGCAGAUCAGCAUGCUGCGGUGAAUACGUUCCCGGGCCUUGUACACACCGCCCGUCACACCAUGAGAGCCGGGGGGACCCGAAGUCGGUAGUCUAACCGCAAGGAGGACGCCGCCGAAGGUAAAACUGGUGAUUGGGGUGAAGUCGUAACAAGGUA
rnacentral:rRNA from 1 species